CAUCAUUCAGCAGACUUAUUAUUGAUUAAAGCAAGGCUUCGUGUGAAGGAAAAUACAAAACUUUUCUAUUAGGAAACUAGAAAGAACGAAGGGGAAAUAUAUGCGAUAUCUCAUUAUAUAAACUUACUAAGAACUAUAGUGGCGGGUGGUAACUGCCCCACCACUGCCCAUGUCCGGACUCUCCCUUUUAAAACAAGGGAGACCAGAAUCUACACUAAACUAACAGAGCCAUUUUCUAAAUUAAGCCCCUUUUCACUACUGCAAUUGACCCGAACCAAACUUGACUGCUGACCCCUUCGUAUCUUUGUCUUGUACUCUUCUUCUACAUUUAGGAUACACCAUUAAGCAAGUUUGGGGCUCUAGGUGAACUGUGACCCACUAAAGGUCUGGCCAAAGGACCAGCCAGCAGGGACAACAUUGUUUGAGACAGCGGUUCGCCCAUCGCUUAAGGUCACCUUGAAGGAGAGGCUCUGUCCGUUGAGGUAGGAGUUGCUUUGCCAGUUCUGACCCCAGUUCCUAGACAUGGGUUGCCAACCUGUUUUUGACCCUUUGAUGGAAACACUGUGGACAUCACCAGCACCUCCAACGUUGGAUAUCAGUACUAAGUUGAAGUAAGAAUGGCCAUUCAUGGUGAACCUGAUGCCUCCUUUCUUGAUGCAGGGUACCCUACGGAAAAACAGGGGAAACAGAGAAUUAAUGCGGUAACAAACUGAGUAAAGACAAAACAAAGAGACCCAUCUAGGCCACAGCACAAACAAACAAAAAAGGAAAAAGGAAAAAAAAUUCCUACUGCAUACCUUCUGUAGGAGACUGGAACAAUCCCAGCUCUGUACUCUGCAAUCCUUUCAAAGACAGGCUGAGAGAGGUCAAAAUGUUGUUGGGGAGGGUUGCACCACCCUCCUGCAUUGUUUGGGAGGGCAUUGUUUGGAGGGCAGAAGUUGGUGGCUGUGACCGUAAUAGAGCCAGAACGACACCACCUUGGGUCAUUCGCACACCUAAUCUCGAAACAAGCACCACAGCUCAACCCACUGUUGAAUAAGGCUGUGCUCAAAGCUGCAGUGUUGGUC
rnacentral:lncRNA from 1 species